AUUUAUCUAGUAUAAAGUAUAGUUGACUUCCAAUCAAAAGGACUGAAUUUAAUUCAGGAUAAAUA
rnacentral:tRNA from 1 species